UCUUCAGAGUCCUAGGUGGUCAUGAGAUCCCGGAUGAGCCCCCAAAUGAAGGACCACCGGGGUGGGGAAGACCCCCCACUAAAAUCUCGAGACAAUGCAACCCCCAAGAACUCACAAGAGACC
rnacentral:pre_miRNA from 14 species